rnacentral:rRNA from 1 species
CGGGGAAACCCGGAUUAAUACCCGGUAUAGUCUGUUAUACACCUGUAUAAAAGACGAGAGCUACGGCGGCCAAAGAUGGGCAUGCGUGCCAUUAGUUAGUUGGUAGGGUAACGGCCUACCAAGGCAUCGAUGGCUACGGGGUCUAAAAGGAUGAGCCCGCACACUGGUACUGAGACACGGACCAGACUCCUACGGGAGGCAGCAGUGAGGAAUAUUGGUCAAUGGGUGGAAGCCUGAACCAGCCAUGCCGCGUGCAGGAAGACGGCCUUAUGGGUUGUAAACUGCUUUUCUACGGGACGAACGGCUCUGACGUGUCAGAGAUUGACGGUACCGUAGGAAUAAGCAUCGGCUAACUCCGUGCCAGCAGCCGCGGUAAUACGGAGGAUGCGAGCGUUAUCCGGAUUUAUUAGGUUUAAAGGGUGCGUAGGCUGGGCAAUAAGUCAGUGGUGAAAGUCCGCGGCUCAACCGUGGGAUUGCCAUUGAAACUGUUGUUCUUGAGUACAGUCGAGGUAGGCGGAAUGUGUAAUGUAGCGGUGAAAUGCCUAGAUAUUACCCAGAAC